UACAGAGGUCUCAAGCGUUGUUCGGAUUCAUUGGGCGUAAAGGGUGCGUAGGCGGCGCGGUAAGUCGGGUGUGAAAUCUCGGAGCUUAACUCCGAAACUGCAUUCGAUACUGCCGUGCUUGAGGACUGGAGAGGAGACUGGAAUUCCCGGUGUAGCGGUGAAAUGCGCAGAUAUCGGGAAGAACACCCGUGGCGAAGGCGGUUCUCUGGGACGGUACUGACGCUGAGACGCGAAAGCGUGGGGAGCGAUCCGG
rnacentral:rRNA from 1 species